rnacentral:rRNA from 1 species
AACGUAGGAGGCGAGCGUUAUCCGGAGUUACUGGGCGUAAAGAGCGUGUAGGCGGGUAUGCAAGUUUGGGGUGAAAGCUCCCGGCUAAACUGGGAGACUGCGUUGAAGACUGCGUAUCUAGAGGCAAGUAGAGGGACGUGGAAUUCCGGGUGUAGUGGUGAAAUGCGUAGAGAUCCGGAGGAACACCAGUGGCGAAGGCGACGUCCUGGGCUUGACCUGACGCUGAGGCGCGAAAGCCAGGGGAGCAAACGGG